UUGGAGGGCAAGUCUGGUGCCAGCAGCCGCGGUAAUUCCAGCUCCAAUAGCGUAUAUUAAAGUUGUUGCAGUUAAAAAGCUCGUAGUUGAAUUUCGGGAUCAAGGAAUCGGUCAUGCCUUGGUAUGUACUGGUUUUAUUGGUUCUCACCUUCUAAAGAACCAUAAUGUCAUUCAUUUGAUGUUAUGGGGAAUUAGGACUGUUACCUUGAAAAAAUUAGAGUGUUUAAAGCAGGCUUACGCUUGAAUACAUUAGCAUGGAAUAAUGAAAUAGGACAUCAGAUUCUAUUUUGUUGGUUUCUAGGAUCGAUGUAAUGAUUAAUAGGGAUAGUUGGGGGCAUUAGUAUUCAAUUGCCAGAGGUGAAAUUCUUGGAUUUAUUGAAGACUAACUACUGCGAAAGCAUUUGCCAAGGAUGUUUUCAUUAAUCAAGAACGAAAGUUAGGGGAUCGAAGACGAUCAGAUACCGUCGUAGUCUUAACCAUAAACUAUGCCGACUAGGGAUCGGAUGAUGUUAAUUUUAUAAUGACUCAUUCGGCGCCUUACGGGAAAC
rnacentral:rRNA from 1 species